UCCGGCCUGGUUAGUUCGAGUGGAAGUUGUAUUUUCCGUGUGAAGGAACUCUUACUCCGGAACUGGUAGUCAUUUUGCUCUAGGCGAUUUUCGUGCUGUAUUCAGAGUGAGGCAGAUCACCCGUGUAUUGGUCACGGAUAGGAGGUAUAAUGCCAAAGCGCGGAACCAGGAACCCUCCAGCUAACAGGCCCAGACC